rfam:Gossypium hirsutum cultivar TM-1 chromosome 20, whole genome shotgun sequence
CUAUUAAAAUUUCAUCCAUUUCUAUUGUUUAAAAUAGAUGUGGCUGAAGGAAUAACUAAGUAGUUAAACGUGUUGUAUCACAUGCACCUCAUACUAAAAUAGAAUGACCAAUUUUUAACCAUAAAAAUGGAUGGAGUUUUGAUCA